GCUGCUCGAAACUUUGCACACCUCUCCGUGGUGAGCAGCAGGCAACGCAGUAAAAGAUACUGUGGCUAAGAUGUAGA
rnacentral:ribozyme from 1 species